rnacentral:SRP_RNA from 1 species
GGUGGCCACAGUGGCUUGUGUCUAUAAUCCCAGCUCCUUGGGAGGCUGAGACUGUAAAGUCAUAUGAGCUCAGAGGUUCUGGGCUGCAGUGGGACAUGCUGAUCAGGUGUCUAUACUAAGGUCUGCAUCAAUAUGGUGACCUGUGGGAAGUUGUAGGUUAGCAGGCUGUUCAAGAAGGGGUGAACCGGGCCAGAUCAGAAAUGGAGCAGAUCAAAGGUCCUGUGCUGAGAAGUAGCGGCAUUGCACGUGUGAGUGGUUCCUGUAGCCCAGCCUGGGUGAGAGAGUGAGACGCAGUCUCU